rnacentral:lncRNA from 1 species
AUUUUGCCCGGGCUUAAACCAAAACCAUACCAAAGCCAAAAUAAAAAAAAUAAUAAUAACAAAAUAAAACCCAAUAAUCAGCAGUUCAAUGCCCAUGUUACAAGCCCAAAUUACCUAGCCCACUUACAAGCAAAUUAUUAACCCAAAUUCCUAAUAGCCUUAACCCAAUUGAAACCCUACCCAAUUAUCCUGAGACAGGCCCAAACGACCCAAGACAUUUUUUAGCAGAAACCCUAAGGGUUUCUUUCCCUUGCGUCGCAACUGGUUUCCAGCAGCUUCCAGCACCGCUGCUGCCUUCGUGCCAGCUUCCACACGCGCCGUUACUUCACACUCCACGUCGACACGCCCACGAACGGCUUCUCCACGCUAUACACACCUGCAAUAGACUAACACCUACAAUAGUAAGCAGUAAUUGAUAACCAAUAAUAGCAAAUUACAGCAAGAAAAUUUAUAUUUUUUGAUUUUAUUUAUAUUUUUAUUUUUCGGCUAUAAAACCGAAUGAAGUCAAGUGUAAAGGGAUCUUUUUUUUUCACAAAAAUACAAUACGGAUACUAAAUGAAAUACAAGAAUAAUCAGAAAAUCAAUAUUACUCGAAGGUGAUUUAUUAUAUUUCAAUUUUUUUCGUCUUUUUUUGCUUUCAUUUUUGCAUCUGCUAUAAACAAAAAAGAAGAGGAUAAAUGAUAGGGGUCUCCUGAAUCAUUAGAAUAUCGUCGAAGUUUCUCCCCCAUUAAAACUGAAUCCAACCAAGGUUGAGACGUUCUUUUGAUUCUUUGUGGUUGAAGGUGUUAGAUUCUUAAAUGUUUUUCUAAAUGAGGUUAGAAAUGGAAGAUUUACUCACCGUCGGCCACUAUUAGAGGCGAGGGUACGGCG